ensembl:lincRNA Gm43597 predicted gene 43597
GGAAAGAGUGAAUAGGACACUAACAGAUGGCGGGUUCAUUCCUUCAGAAGUUGUAAGUAUCCGGCCUGAUACUGUUAGCUCUCUGAGGAUUUCUUCUGAUCGUCAGUUUUCAAAUGAGAGCUUUGACGGAAAGCUGAAGAUAUGGGAAACCUGGGAGCCAGUGCAGUGUGGACUUGCUGAGGACAGCCAAAACAUAAGCAGGAAUGGUCAGUCCUUCGGGCCACUAGCACAAGAAUUUGCCUUUCAGCCAGCCAAACUUUUGGGAUCUCCUGGAGUUGCAAUGGAACCCUUGUUACCGGAUGACCCAACACAGGAUUCCCUUUGAUACGGAAGUCAUUCAAGAUAAUGCCUUUGCGAUGGAAGAUGUCAACAAAGGUAUCUUUUUUAGGUUUCAGAGAUUUCUUUUCAAAAUAGUUAUUUGUGUUAUAUUUAAUUAUUGUGUGUGUGUGUGCAUAUGUGUGUGGGUGCCCACAGAGGCUAGAGCUAUCGGAUCUCCCUGGAGUUGGAGUUACAGGCAGAUGUGAGCUGCCUGACUGCCUGACUGAGGUGCCUAUAAGCACCUAGGCUCAUUUACCAGGCCAAGGUCACCUGAUAGGGCCAGGAAGCAAGCCAGGCUUGGAUUGGCGUGGUCAUAGUAAGAUCGAGGCUGUGAUAGUUUUACUGUGAGCAAUCCUACUUUUUAUCUCUUUAUCAGAAACAGAAGAUAAUAGCAAUUGUCAGGAUCAAUGAUGUUGCAGUUGCCAGGACACAGUGAAGUUUGCAAAUUAUACAGGGCACACAAGAUUAAUGCCUAAGACCGAUUGGCCUGUCAAGCUCCCAGGUUUCCUUGAUUUCUGAGAACAUACAGAGAAACACAAAGUGACCUAAUUGCUUCACUGCCUGAGGGAGUGGAUCGGUUUCUCAGGAAUGAGAAGACACAUUGUGCCCCAGAAGCCACGGAUUCUAACUGAAAAACGUAUAUGACACAUGCCUCUCAAAGUAGCUAGGCCAAGCCAACUCCAUGGUUCCUUACAGGCGCUGAGAACCAGUCAGAGUUCUGCAAGAGCUGUGUGUAUUCACAACUACUGAGCCAUCGCUAGAUAAAAUACUUUUUUUGGUUUUUUGUUUGUUUGUUUUUUUGUUUUGCAAGACAGGGUUUCUCUGUGUAGCCCUGGCUGUCCUGGAACUCACUCUGUAGACCAGGCUAGCCUUGAACUCAGAAAUCCUCCUGCCUCUGCCUCCCAAGUGCUGGGAUUAAAGGCGUGUGCCACCACUGUCUGUAGAUAAUACUUCUAUAAAAAUAAAAUCAGAGGAUUGUUUUCAUGAAAAUUAGAAAAAGAAUAUGCAUGGAUGUUAUUGUAUUAGCCAUAAGAGAACCUUGCGUUUAAUUCUCUAAGUGUAUUGAAGGCCAUGCACUCUGAAGAGCUGACCAUUUUAGGAGAGUCUGCCAUUCACUGAGUAAAUUCUCCUGUCCAGACCUAAAUUAGCUUAGAUCCAUAUUUGCUUGACUUGAAAACAUCUCGUUGUUGGUGUGAUCUUGUGGUCCACAGUGGUGAAUAUCCCUGUUCUUUUAUUAUUAUUAUUGUUGUUGUUAUUUAUUUUUUGGUUUUUUGAGACAGGGUUUCACUGUGUAGCCCUGGCUGUCCUGGAAAUCACUCUGUAGAUCAGGCUGUCCUUGAACUCAGAAAUCUGCCUGCCUCUGCCUCCCAAGUGCUGGGAUUAAAGGCGUGUGCCACCACUGCCCGGCAAUAUCCCUUUUCUUAAGGGCCGCUUGUUUUAUCCAGGGAGCUGGUGGAGGACUGGCUUGGACAGUUAGACAGUAACAGAGACUGGAAAAGUAGUUAUCUACCUGGCUUUGGCUUUUGUUUUUGAUAGUUGGCUUGGUUUUUGCCUUUUUUUUUUUUUAGAUUAAUUAAUAGUGAAAUAAAUGAAGCUGGAGGCACCUGGGGGCACAUUUUGGAAUUAGUAGUAAAAUCUAACUUUAAAGACAAAUUGUAGUACCAUUGCUUAAAGGUAGCAGGUGUUUCUUAUGGGCACAUUUGUUUUGUGUGAAUCGUAUGUACACGUUUUAUAAGCUGUCCUUUUGUUUUGAAGAUGAGGUCAUCUAUGUAGCCCUGUGUGACUUCAAAUUCGUGGCCAUAUUCCUGCCUUCAUCUCUCCUGUGCCGGGCUGAUGCUCUUGGACCGCCAUGUCCUGUGGUGUGGCUUACUUCUUCCCCGAGUCCUCGGGGAGUCUAUGCUGUCAUUCGCGCACACAGAGAGCAGUACUUACAGUACUAAGUACUAAGUACUUAGUACAGUACUUACAGUGCUAAGACUGACAUUUGUGGUCGUGAUGUUUCUUUCGAUAUCUGAGGAAUGCCUGCGCAGGAGAAUUAAUCAUUAUUUUGUGUAUCUCAAUUAUUAUUUCUAGAAAAGGCAGAAGAGUCUUGGUUAAAAAUGAAAAAUCCCUUGACCUGUAAGUACCUCUUGCCGCAGAGACCUCGAUAUGGUCAGGAGGAAACGAGUGUUGGCAUUGCCUGGUUGUAAUAGCGCAGAUGUAUUGCAGUUGAAGAGUUGUUACUAUAGCAACCCUGUCUGUGCGACUGCAUGUUCAAUUCUUUUCUUCAGUCUCUUUCUGUGACCUACAAACAAAGCUUGGAUUGUUGCUCCCAAGAUUUAUUCCCCAUUUCAUUAGUUAGAAUGCAUUUCAGAGCAUUCUGACGACAAUACAAGAGAAUACACACACACACACACACACACACACACACACACACACACACACUGGUGUGUGACCAGAGCUAGGAAUUAGGGCUGUAGUUUCCAUGUAAAUAUAUAUAUUAACAGAUGCUCUAAGCAAAGAGGCAGCAUGGAUAAACAUGAGGUCAUAUACUUGACAUAGAGAGUGACAUUAAAGGAAACACAUAUGUUGCGAUGCCAGUGCAUUCGUGUCUGCACUUAGUAAGAGUGGAACACACAUGUGCUUGGCAUGUUUUCCUCUUGCCCCCGCUUCUGCUGGGAGACGGGGCACUGCGUGCUGGGGAGGAGUUUAGAGGUCUGGAGAGACUGCUAGAACGAGAUGAGUGUGCUAAGAGACUGUGAGAGCUCUGGAGGAAGGGAUGAAAGCUCUCAGUUUGUUCCCAGUGCAUGAGUGGUGUCAUCUUAGACCUUGCUCUCUGUGCCGAGGGAAAGCAGCGAGCCCUUUCCUGUGCUGUAUACAGCAGUCUCUGUUAAGACGUGUGUCCCUUCUCCCCUGUGAGGGGCCCUGCAGACACUGAGCUACCAUACAAGGAACACGCAGCGAGCUUGACUUGACUUGGCUGUGGCCAUUCCGAGAGUCCCUUCUCUGUGGUGACGGUGCGGAUUUGUGUCAAGGACAGGCUCUGCAAGUGCUUUUGGUUUUGAAGUCGCUCCUCUGCUCCUCCGUUCUGAUCUAACUGUUCUCCGUGGCACUGGCCUCACCAACAGCCUCGCUCUAAAUCUUCAUCUGAGCGUCUCUCUCGAGCUCUGUAGCCGUAUGUGUAUUCGCUACAGUCAUCUGGAGAAAGAGCCUUCCGGUUUGGGUUGUCACGGCAUACUGACAAGUAGGUUUUAAAGGGCAAACAGAAAUACAGGAAGAGGCAAUUAUAAGAAGAACCUGCUGGGCUGUAGAAGUCCCAUGGUGGUUUCUGCCUAUCUCACAGUACUCAGCACUGGUUGCCAUGUGCUGACAGCCACAGGCCUCUGUAGAUGCUGAGGUAGGCCAAGGAUGUGCUCCUACACGAUUGUUCUGGAGGUGCUGCCUGCUGUGUGACCUGAAAGAAUUAAUCUCCUCACAGCCUAGAUUUUCUUAACUGUAAAACAUAAGUAGAUAAUAUCACUUUAGUCACAGGUACUUGGACUAGUGCCUGAGAAGUCACGGCUUUAGCAUGGGUUUAUCUCAUCCUUUUACACCUCCAGGACCAAGGCCUUUGGCAGCACAAAACUGUGGCUGUCCUGGAAGAGGGAAAGAUUGAGCCAGGAAACCUGCUUACAGAUUUGCAUACAUUCCUGUGGUGGUCCUUAUUAACAUCUGUACUACUAAGAGCCGUAACCCGAGAGCAGAGGUGAGAUGCACGCAGAACCGGGCAGAAUGGACUGAAGGGACAGCACAGGCGGGAGAUGCCGGGGCGUAGCAUGACUAGGGCAGCAAAGGGGACCCGUUGUGUCUGGACAUGUCUGGGUGUGUGCUUGCCUGCAGUGAAGAUCUCUGCUUCCUUUCCUGCUGCUGAGAAAUCCCUGGGAAAAGCCAGGGAGCCCAGUGCUGACCCUCAGAGGCCCUCCCACCACACUCCCACUGGACACCCACCCUCACUGGCCUGGAUAAUCCCUCCAGUUGUUGCUUCUGAUUAAGUUGUGUCAAUAAAAAGGAAAGGAAAGAAAACUCGGCAAGCAGCAAAAGUGUGAACACAGCCACUGCCUGAUGCCAAGAGCUGUUGCAGCUUCGACCUGCAGAGGAAAGAGAGGCAUGGACAGCCCUGUAAUAGCUCUGAGAUUGCGUUAGUAACCUUAUGCAAGCAUUGAUCUGUGGCCACAGCUCUAGGAUUUGAAGUCCCCAAAGGCUCUAAAAUCCAAGUAUUGUUCUGUUUAUUCAGUUUUUUUUUUAAUGGUGGUGAAAUAUACAAUAAAGCCAUUGCCUUAGCUA